GGCGACAUUUCCGGUACACCAAUUUUUACCGCCACCGAUUGUUAAUGUGCACCGCUUAGGUGAGAGUAAUAUGUAAGUUUGGACUAAACAAUUGGAGCUCGGGACUUGAGAGCUUAAGAUCGUCUUUUGGAAAAAGUUUAACGACUCGGGAGAGGAACUCAAUUUGAUGCUAGUGGAUGAGGAUGGUACCGUUGGGAAAGGAAUGUCGUUAUUAGUUUAGUCAUAUUUUACUCUUUCACCUUCUAAUGAGACUGGUUUUGUAUUUAAGAACAAAUGGAUGGUCUGGAUGACUUAAAUUAGCUAUGUACUAGUUAGAAAUGGGAAAUAAUGGAUGCUAGGUAUUAUUUUGAUAUUUUAUUGACUUAUUAAAUCUAUCUAUUUGGUGAUACAUAACUGUGGGGAUAUUACUGUUCUUUUAUAUUGAUGAGUGAUCCUG